rnacentral:rRNA from 1 species
GACGAACGCUGGCGGCGUGCCUAACACAUGCAAGUCGAGCGGGGGGAGUUCUUCGGAACAAACCUAGCGGCGGACGGGUGAGUAACACGUGGGUAACCUGCGUCAAAGUGGGGGAUAGCCUUCCGAAAGGCAGAUUAAUACCGCAUAACCCAUGAUUUCCGCAGGGAAGUCAUGGUAAAGAUUUAUCGCUUUGAGAUGGACCCGCGGCGCAUUAGCUAGUUGGUGAGGUAACGGCUCACCAAGGACACGGUGCGUAGCCGACCUGAGAGGGUGAUCGGCCACAUUGGAACUGAGACACGGUCCAGACUCCUACGGGAGGCAGCAGUGGGGAAUAUUGCACAAUGGGCGAAAGCCUGAUGCAGCAACGCCGCGUGAGUGAUGAAGGCCUUCGGGUUGUAAAGCUCUGUCUUUUGGGACGAUAAUGACGGUACCAAAGGAGGAAGCCACGGCUAACUACGUGCCAGCCGCCGCAGUAAAAC